rnacentral:lncRNA from 1 species
AGGAACCCAGACGAUAACACACAUACGUUUUAAAAAUAGCCUAUAUAUUAUAUACAAACAAAAGGCUAACAAAAGCAAAAAAAAUCUGCUUUCGCUAUCGUCGAAGAACGCUGGAAUUAAGCACUGUGUGAGUUGAAAAGUACUUUUUGUUCCGUUUCAGAUUUCAGUUAUAUUUUUUUGUCGUGUUUCAGCCCAUGCUUCCUGUUGAGCGAAUGUAUGGAACAUUCUGUGCCGUCUUCGCCAUGUUCAUGCGAAUAAAUUGCUUUGAGAAACUCUCAUGAUGUUUAUAGGUGGCCAGGUUGAUGUGCAUUGAAGAAAAUCUAAAUUCAAGGAGAUUCUACAGAGACUUUUAUUUAAUGUGCCCAACAGUCAUUUGAACGAUUUGAUUAUUUGAAAUUUUGAACUAUUUUAAUUGCUGGAAUGGUCUGGAAAUGUAUGAACAAAAAUGAGUAAAACAAGAAAAAUAUUGUAAGAUAUUGUACACAAGUAGUGGGACUUAAGUAUUUAGCUUACUCUGUGUGCAAGUUGACUUAUGUGAGAGGAUGGCAUUCGUUUUUGUGAUAUCCAUUUACACUACAUUUGGGUUUGUUAAAGUUUCUCAAGCAAAUAUGUAGAUUGCAUAUUUAAAGAUUUUAAAGUCAUUGAUUUUCAAGAAUUUUAAAAAGCAAACAAUUGCAGAGAAAUACACGAUUUGAAGAUGACAUAAGUACUAAUUCAAUAAAUCACAGCACAAUGAAAGAAUAGUCUCCUAUGCUCAUAUUAAAAAUGUCUAAUAAGAAACAAUAUUGAUAUGAUCAAGGAGCUUUUUUUGUCAUUAUAACAAUAUACUGACAGUUGAUGCAUCCUGUUGAUUGUGCAUAAAAGAUAACCUCAUGUAUAACUUUGUACAAGAAGUAGCACAAUUAUUAGAGUUCAGUGACUUGUAAAAGAGGCAGUUAGCGAUUUAGAACUUUUAAGUCCUCCAAAGUCUGUUUUAUAGUCCUUGUUUUCACAUUUUUAUGUGUGUAUUCAAAUGUUUUUAAAUAACAUUUUAGGGGUGUUGGUCUCAUGUCACUUCCUGGCCACGUCAGGGAGUGAAAUCUAAACAAUGGUCUUGUCUCAGAACUUCCUUACUCUUCCACUCCACUGAUCUGAAAUGCCUGGAUAGGUGAAAACAAUAUGGCCGACAGUCUAAUGUAGCCAAGUGCUCCAUACUGCUCUAAUGGAGUACCUUG